GCCUUCAUGGUGAAAUGGUAGACACGCGAGACUCAAAAUCUCGCGCUGAAGAGCGUGGAGGUUCGAGUCCUCUUCAAGGCA
rnacentral:tRNA from 1 species